GCAUAUCAAUAAGCGGAGGAAAAGAAACUAACAAGGAUUCCCCCUAGUAACUGCGAGUGAAGCGGGAAAAGCUCAAAUUUAAAAUCUGGCAGUCUUUGGCUGUCCGAGUUGUAAUCUGGAGAAGCGUCUUCCGCGCUGGACCGUGUACAAGUCUCCUGGAACGGAGCGUCAUAGAGGGUGAGAAUCCCGUCUUUGACACGGACUACCAGUGCUUUGUGAUGCGCUCUCAAAGAGUCGAGUUGUUUGGGAAUGCAGCUCAAAAUGGGUGGUAAACUCCAUCUAAAGCUAAAUAUUGGCGAGAGACCGAUAGCGAACAAGUACCGUGAGGGAAAGAUGAAAAGCACUUUGGAAAGAGAGUUAAACAGUACGUGAAAUUGCUGAAAGGGAAACGCUUGAAGUCAGUCGCGUUUGCUAGGACUCAGCCUUGCCUCGGCUUGGUGCACUUCCUAGUAAACGGGCCAGCAUCACUUUUGGCUGCGGGAAAAAGGUCAGAGGAAUGUGGCACCUUCGGGUGUGUUAUAGCCUCUGGCUGCAUACCGUGGCUGGGAGUGAGGAACUCAGCACGCCUUACGGCGGGGCUUCGGCCACCUUCGUGCUUAGGAUGCUGGCGUAAUGGCUUUAAACGACCCGUCUUGAAACACGGACCAAGGAGUCUAACAUGCCUGCGAGUGUUUGGGUGGAAAACCCGAGUGCGUAAUGAAAGUGAAAGUUGGGACCUCUGUCGUGGAGGGCACCGACGCCCGGACCAGACCUUCGGUGACGGAUCUGCGGUAGAGCAUGUAUGUUGGGACCCGAAAGAUGGUGAACUAUGCCUGAAUAGGGUGAAGCCAGAGGAAACUCUGGUGGAGGCUCGUAGCGAUUCUGACGUGCAAAUCGAUCGUCAAAUUUGGGUAUAGGGGGCGAAAGACUAAUCGAACCAUCUAGUAGCUGGGUUCCUGCCCGAAGUUCCCCUCAG
rnacentral:rRNA from 1 species